ensembl:lncRNA
AUGAUGGGGUACAGCUUUGGGAUGUGGAAGAGUCAGUUCAGGUGGCCCGAUGUGCUGUGGAACAUUCUUCCACAUAAUCAGCAUUCCACAGUGAGCCAGAGAAAAGAAAGACUGCAGAAGAUUGCUGAAACUGGAAAGGAUAGAAAAACGCUCAGGUUUCUAUCGAACAGGUUCAGAGAAAAUAAUAAUCAAAAGGUACUAACAGAACAGAAAAAAAGUCUUGAUAUUAAGAUGAGCUUGAGGUUGCAGACCCAAACUGACAUCACAAUGUAUUAUUUGGCAUUAUUCGGUUUUCAGAUUUGCUGUUAUAUCUGAGUACCAGAGCUUUGGUGGUCCCAGGCUCCUCCUCAACAAGCCAGACUCAGAUUAACAUGGCAACGGCAUAGUGAAUUCUCAGAGCACAUCUGCCUCAGCUUCCAGCAGCGCUGAUGUCUUCUGAUAAGAGUAGCCAGUUGACUCAGCAGGACGUCCACAGCACUGACCUCUCUGAGGGACACAACAGCAAAUACAGAUAAAAUUCUAAAGAUAUAAUCACAUACACUACAGUUCAAAAGUUUGGGGUCAGUAAGAUUAAAAGAAUCAGUAAAGAAUCCAAACUACUGAUUGUUAGUGUACACGACUACACAUUAAAAAAAUACAUUUUAGAGAUGUAAUAUUUCACUGUUUUGCAAGCUGGGCUGAAUAUUGUUUUACUUUUAAGAGUUUUGGCUCUUGAAUGCAAUCAGAAUUUUCUUCUGUAGCAACUUCCUGCCAUCCCAAAAUGUGCCAUCUUUUUUUUCUGAAACUUAGAUUCAGAGAGUAUUUAUAAAAUGAAAGAGAACAUGCAUUUAAUUUGUGUGAAUGUGUCGCCAUGUUAACACAUUUUAUGAAACAGAAGCUUAUUUUGGUAUUGUACUAAAUUACAGAGGUUGUGAAGUCUUUAAACUCCUCCCCUGGUAGACCUAGAGUUCUUCUUUAGCCCGAACAAAGCCUCAUCACGUCUAGAAAUAUUACAGAAAGCAAAGAAAUAUAACUCAAAACACCUACACAUGCAUUGCAAGCAUGAACUACACAAAAACACACCUGCUAAGCCAGUUCAAGAUGUUCUGCUCCUACUGCAACACAAGAUCAAUCUCAUCUUCUAGCAGGGCCUUCUGGAGCAAGCGCACAACAAACUCCAGAAAACAAGACUUCUGCUUGAACUUCAUCACUAGAUCAGUAACACACUAAUGCAAACAUACAGAAUGAGUGUACGACACCUCAUUCAGUGAAUCUGACUUUUUCUGUGUUUUUUUGAUAUAUCCUCUUUAAAGGCCUGCUGGAGGGUGCUGUUUUCAAUCACCAUGUAGAGUACAACAGGGUCUUCCUGUCCAGUAAGCUCACAUUCAUCUGACCCCGCAUCAAAGGCCAUAUAACAUACUUUGUACUGAUUGUUUACUAUUUUUUUUUUUUGUUUAAACAUUGGCUUCUUGAUCUAAGAUAUGAGAAAAUAGAAGGACCUGUUUUGUUGCAGGAAGUUACAUCAUUCUCCUCAAGGGUGUAUGGUGCAGGUUUGAAGAUCAUGGAGAGGUUGGAGGUUUCUGGCAUUCCUAAAUUGUUCUCUGAAGGAUAAGCACUACUAACCAGCCUCCUCUCUUCAAGCUCAGCUUUCUCCAUUAGCGUUAUGGCCUCCUGGAGAGACGAAAACAGAGUUUACAUCAUGUUAUGCUGAUGUCUUGUUACACCAGUUGAAAUCCUGACCUCAAGUAUUUUCUUGGUCUCUCGGCUCAUCUGGUUUUUCCUGAAUGUCAACAGGGCCUUCUGCGCUAGGAAAACACACUUAGAGAUCAUGUUCUUGAUUUUUUUUUCAAGUACAGCAGAGUCUGUUAAAGAAUAAAUCUGUGUAAAACUGACUUGACUUAUUAAUA